CUCUGCUCCUGCAUGCUGGACUCCUGAGCCAGGAGGCUCUUUCACUCCGUGGCCCUUCUGCUCAUUCUUCAAGUCCCUGAGUGACCAGUGGUCCUCCUUUCUGAAGGCUCUUGCUACAAAGGAAAGAUGAGGAUAUUCUAUUUCUUGAUCCCUCUCAGCUACUGGGAGCUGCUUUGUGCCUUGGAAGCCUCAAGCUGAAAUGGAUGUCAGCCUCAAGUUUAACUCCAAGAGGGUUCACCUUGUUUCUUUGAACAAAAUGUGCUGCCUGUUGCUUCCCUUUGCCAGGAGUGGUGUUCCCUUUUCCACAGGUCUGGACCACAGUGUCUCUAGCUCCCGCUCCUGGAUACUUGGUUACUGUGUGUUUCGGUAAAAAAGCAUCCACAACAUGAAUAUCCACUAAGCUGUAACAGGGCCUGCUGCAACUAUAGUAUUUCCUGAAAAAGUAUCAACUGCCACAAGGGCCACAAAUAAAGUCUGUGAACUUGAAAUAACCAUGGAGAAUGAAAUGUUCUGAUUCAGAUCAUCGGUGGGAUUUCACUGGGAAAUCUCCCACUGGGCAAGAGUAGAUGAUGGAGGAGGAGAAACAGUCACUAGAAAAAGGUGAUACUUUGUAUCAAGAAACAAUUAAAAAUUAGAUCACAUCCUGAAACAUUAAGCAUAUGCUCCUUUGUGAGGCUUGCCUGGCUGAACUUGAACUGGAUUGAGUGAAUAAUUUCUUAAAAACAAUCAAAAUCACAGAUUUAUUCUAUUUUAAAUACUUAUAUUUACUUAUAUUUCAUUCAGAAAUUAGUUAACAAAUAAUUUUUGAGUAUCCUGGGAACUGUUCUAAUCAUUAAACAUGCAAGUUUGAAGAAAGUAAGGAUGAAUCUGCCUGCGUGGGGCUCUCAAUCUAGCGAGAAGCAGAUAAGAAGACAAAUGUCAGGGAAGAUCACACAACCUUCAGGUAAUAUUUAAGCUGAGACCUCACUAGUUGCUAAGACUGGAUUUCAGAGGUCAGGUUUGGAUAUACAAAAUUUAGGAGCUGGUACAUGACAUUUAAAACCAUGGGAAUGAAUGAGAUUUCCUAGAUAGAAAGAAGAAAAGAAUAUUGACAUUUAAUGUUGAACGGAGUAGGAGGAGCUGAACAGGGAGACCAGGAAGGAGCAGACAGUGAACCUGGAGCAUGAAUAGGAGAGUGGGUGUCAUGGAAGCCAAGAGAAACAAGAAUUCAAGAAAGAAAGUUUCUUACUGUAGCAAAUGGCGCUGAGAGGGAAAGUAAGGCCAUGGAAUGAUGACAAUGACAACAGUGACGAAGGAUCAUUGAGUAUGGUAUCAUGCUGACAUUUGUUUCUACCCAGGCUAGGUCGUUACUGAGGGGUGGUAGCUAAGACAGGGUGGGUUGAACAUGAGGAAAUGAAGACAGAACAUGAAUUUUUGGAAAGUUUGGCUACAAUGGGAAGUAGAGAAAUGGGGUAAUAUCUGGAAGGGGAGGGAAUUGAGUCAGUAGGGUUUUGUGUUUUGAUUUUACGGUAGGGCAUCUAGAUAGAUCAUGUUUAUGUACCUAUUCCCACUCUGUUCUCUCUUCCUGAAGAGUCUCCUCUGGCAAACUCCAUUCUGUAAACGUCCGUAUUUAAGUGUCCUGUUCUCUGUCAAACAUUCUUCCCAGGCCUAGUAUGAUGUUUGUCCCCAGGCUUCCAUGCCAUUAUGUGUACACAUUAUCUGCCAUAAGCUUACCUUAUUGCAUGGCAAUGGAAGUUUUUCCUCCUUCUCUCUUCUUCAUUAGACAAGAACAGGGUCUUGAAAAGUAGAGACUGUGUCUUCUCAAGUUCGGACUACUGGCACAGGUAGGUGCUCAGAACUUGGCACCAGGAAGAUGCUUAUUAAAUAUUUGAAGAACAAAUAAGUAAAUGAAUGAAUAGACUAACUGAGUUUGAAGGCAGUGCUAUGGCAGAUUUUUCUUAUUUUAUGAAUGGAAAAACUAUGGCAUAGAACAAUUUGGAAUCUGAUAAUUUUACAAAUUCGUAGGAGUGCUGGAAAACAGUAAAAUCUUCAGUCUUGCUCCUUGAGCUGUUGCCCAGGUCCCUCUCUGGGACUGCACUAGCAGCCCUAAAAAACACCUGGGGCUGAUACCCUCACAUUCACACCAAACCGCAGACCUCACCACAGAAGCACAGGCCUUCACGCUGGCGUCUGCAGUCUACUUGUAGUUUGAUUUUAGCAACAUUGGCCAAGUUGAGGCUGGGAAGCAGCUGGUGAACAAAGGGUGGAUGCACUUUUCUGAAUCUAGGGGGAGACCAGGUUAGAGCCAUGCUAAGUGAAGCUGCUAGGGUAGGUGGGCCAGGCAGGGGAACAGGCAAAGAUACCCUUGGCUCCCUUAAACUUGGGCUAGAAAAAACAAAGACAUGGCUCAAGGAGAACCACAAGGUGUCACUGUUCAUCCUCAGUUAAACAAACACUGAUUUGGGCAGGGACUUGAGAAACACUGCAAAGAACUUUAUUUUGCAGAUGAAGAAACGGAGGCCCGGGGAGGUAACAUGAUUUGACUAAGAUCACGUAACAACUUAAUGGCAGAACAAUUAUGAGAAACCAAGUCUCUUAACUUUCAGACUGGCAGGACCACUUUCUCCCAUUGCUCCUAUGAGAUGGCAUUUUGAGAUGAGGAGUAAGCCUUCUCUACAAUCAUUCACUCAAGACAAUGGCUUUCAAUUAGAAAUAGAACAGAAAAAAAACAAGAGAGAGAGAA
rnacentral:lncRNA from 1 species